CCCCUAGACGUUCUGGGCUGCACGCGCGCUACAAUAAUACGCACAGCGAGUAUCACCGAGCUCGAAAGGGCAAGGUAAACAAUAGAAAAGGUACUGUAAUGGUUAUAGAUCCUUGUAAUUAUUGAUCUUCAACGAGGAAUUCCUAGUAAGUAUGUGUCAUCAUCACGCACUGAUUACGUCCCUGCCCUUUGUACACACCGCCCGCCGCUCCUACCGAUUGGGUGAGCCGAUGAAACUCUCGGAUGUAGGCUAUUCAUAGCCCGCAGAAGAGAUUUGAAUCGUAGCGCUUAGAGGAAGGAGAAGUCGUAACA
rnacentral:rRNA from 1 species